AUCGGUGUAGCUCAGUGGUCAGAGCGGCGGUCUCCAAAACCGCGCGUCAGGAGUUCGAAUCUCCUCACCUUUG
rnacentral:tRNA from 1 species